GGCGGGUGAUGAAUGGAAACUUCCUGACAUUUCAAGCGACAACAUCUGAAAGGAAAUGGAAUUUUCCUGAAGCACAGGCAGGAGGUCUGUGUCACAAGCUAUUGAUUUGCAUGUGAUCUUUCUUUUUUUUCACUCCACCUUUCCCCCAUCAAAUGAGGAAGGAAAGCUCAAGCAGUUUACUAUUUUGGGAAAAUUGUGCCAUCGUGCCUAGUACAUAGUGUGUAUCAGACUUAAGAAAAGGACAAGAAUGAAACUAUUAAAAAAAUUUCUCCAACUGGCAAUUAAAAGACAAUGGGAAAACUGCUUCUAUGUUUAAGAAAAAAUAAUUUAACUCUUAAUUUUAUUGCCACUUAUCUACUUUUGACCAUAUAUUGAGGACUCCCCCCACCUUCCACCACCAGUGGAACUGGGGAAUAAAACAACAAAGAUUGAAGAUGUGAUGGAGAAAAGAGUGGAAACAACUCAAGACAGUGAUGAAGGGGAAUCUCAUGAAAUCAUCUGUGUUGCAAAUCUAGAGAGGUAUGAUGUACCGCAGUGGAGUAACUGGAUGGAUGGAAUUCACCUAAAAGGAGAUAUUCAGGGAAAAACAAAACAAACAAAAAACAAAAAUAAAAACAAAAAAUGCUCAAACUAUUACACUAGGUUAUAUAUAUACAUAUAUAUUUUUUUCUUUUUCUCUUCCUAUUUUCCUUUUCCAUUUUACGUGUUUCAAAUUUACAAAUAAAAAUUGUAGAUAUUAAAAAAAAAAGAAAGAAAGAAAAG
rnacentral:lncRNA from 1 species